rnacentral:rRNA from 1 species
GUUUGAUCAUGGCUCAGAUUGAACGCUGGCGGCAGGCUUAACACAUGCAAGUCGAGCGGGGGAAGGUAGCUUGCUACUGGACCUAGCGGCGGACGGGUGAGUAAUGCUUAGGAAUCUGCCUAUUAGUGGGGGACAACAUCUCGAAAGGGAUGCUAAUACCGCAUACGUCCUACGGGAGAAAGCAGGGGAUCUUCGGACCUUGCGCUAAUAGAUGAGCCUAAGUCGGAUUAGCUAGUUGGUGGGGUAAAGGCCUACCAAGGCGACGAUCUGUAGCGGGUCUGAGAGGAUGAUCCGCCACACUGGGACUGAGACACGGCCCAGACUCCUACGGGAGGCAGCAGUGGGGAAUAUUGGACAAUGGGGGGAACCCUGAUCCAGCCAUGCCGCGUGUGUGAAGAAGGCCUUAUGGUUGUAAAGCACUUUAAGCGAGGAGGAGGCUACUUUAGUUAAUACCUAGAGAUAGUGGACGUUACUCGCAGAAUAAGCACCGGCUAACUCUGUGCCAGCAGCCGCGGUAAUACAGAGGGUGCGAGCGUUAAUCGGAUUUACUGGGCGUAAAGCGUGCGUAGGCGGCUUAUUAAGUCGGAUGUGAAAUCCCCGAGCUUAACUUGGGAAUUGCAUUCGAUACUGGUGAGCUAGAGUAUGGGAGAGGAUGGUAGAAUUCCAGGUGUAGCGGUGAAAUGCGUAGAGAUCUGGAGGAAUACCGAUGGCGAAGGCAGCCAUCUGGCCUAAUACUGACGCUGAGG